UGCGGCUGGAUCCCCUCCUUUCUAAGGAUAUAUUCGGAACAUCUUCUUCGAAGAUGAAAGGGAUAACGUGACAUAUUGUAUUCAGUUUUGAAUGUUUAUUAACAUUCAAAUUUGUACAUUGAAAACUAGAUAAGUAAGUAAAUAGAUUUUACCAAGCAAAACCGAGUGAAUAGAGUUUUAAAUAAGCUUGAAUUCAUAAAAAUAAUCGCUAGUGUUCGAAAGAACACUCACAAGAUUAAUAACAGGUUUUCGACUUUAACUUUUAAAGAAAUCGUUGUGAUAUGAAAGCGAUUGACUAAAAGUAUGGUGGAAACAUAGAUUAAGUUAUUAAGGGCGCACGGUGGAUGCCUUGGCACUAGAAGCCGAAGAAGGACGUUACUAACGACGAUAUGCUUUGGGUAGCUGUAAGUAAGCGUUGAUCCAGAGAUUUCCGAAUGGGGAAACCCGG
rnacentral:misc_RNA from 1 species